rnacentral:lncRNA from 1 species
GGGGGGGCUUUUGUACAUGUUCUGAACCGUCAUUAUUGACAACAAAUUGCUAAUUCAUGUUCAGAGGCCGUGAAAAUUGAACCAAGUCUUCUCUCCAGCUAAAUUGAAGAGAUGGUUACGAUUAGAAGCUUGAAGGAAGCGAAAGUCUUCCUGGUGAAUCAUCUACUUCCUCAGUUAUUGUUGAUGACCACAUUAAAGUUUCGGGAGAGAAUAGAGGAAUGCCAUGAGCAAUGAAGCACUGAAUCAAUCUAUUCAAUUAAUGCGUAGGUUAGAAACAACCUUUCCCAAGAAAUGUUCCCGCCAAGCGAGAUCCCCACAAGGCAAAAGCUUCGCUUGAGUUGACCACUUCAUCUUUCAAACAAACUUAUUCACAAAUUCUCCAACGCAGCUUGUCUCACACAUGAAAAAUCAAUAGCCAACACAAAUACCCAUAAGUUCCAAGCGCUCGAACUCGACGUGGGUCAUGCAGAACACUCAAGAAAAAAAUCUUGCGCUUGUCACAGACAUGAGAUGAAAGCUGUGUGACCCAUAAAUCGCCAAAAACUGGAGCAAUAUCUGGCUGCGUGGCACAAGAAAUCCAUGCGCGAAUGGACCAAAGCGGCGGCCCUAGCCUCCAGGUUUGACUCCACCGUAAACCGCACAGGCAUGAACAAUCCAUAAGUGAGAACUGAAGUUUUGGUAAGAGAACAGGGACGCGACGCGUUCCCAAUGAGGGGAACAUUUCGGCGGGCGGGGAAGCGCGGAGGCGUUGCGGCGUGGGGGGGAGUGUUGCUCGGUCCAUGGCACGCGCUGGUUUGCAGCAGACCAGGAAGGACGGGGAGUGAGAGAAAGUGAUCGAAAGAGAGAGAGCGAGAGUGAUUCUGGUGGGGCUGUUUGCCUGCCUGGCUCGCUGGAACUACGCUGCGUCCACGUUCUCCAUUCCCUUACUUCUACUUUUCCAUCACUGAGCAGUUUUUUUCCCCUUCGCCCCGAUCGAUGUAAUCACGCGCACUGCUCAAGAAAGUGGUUGGAUGGGACGAACCCACUCGCCAAUGGUCGCAAUUGCGCUUUCUGGGAGGUUGUUGGAAUCGGAGCUGGAGUUGUUGUGGGGGUUUUUGAGGUUUGCAGGUUGGAGAGUUUGACUUUUGAACCCUAAUGUUGAAUUGAGGGAGCGGUGAUAGAGAUUCGAUGGCGGGGUUUAUGGUGGCGGAGCAAGGUUUGGGAGGUUGUGGAUUGUUGGUUUGAAUGGAAAGGUGGGUUGGGAUCGUAGGGACGGGAUCGGGGGUUCGCCUGGGCUGAGGGGGAGAGUGGGGUGGUGGGUUUGCGCUGGGUCGAGUGUCUGAGGUGGCGUUUGCGUGUCCUAAGUUUCGCACCAGGAUUGCAUUGGGUAUCGGAUUGGUUGCUAAUUCGAUCAGCAGUGGAAUUGACGCGUCCUUUUUUGCAUCUUUUGUAGCAGUCCCUAAUGUUCGGACCGUUGAGGAGGCUAGAAUGUAGUUUCGCUUUUGUGCGGCAGGAGGAAGCGGGCACACUGCGAGUUCAAUCUGUAUGGGGAACGUCAGAAGUAGGUCUUUGACUGUUCCAGAAUUUUAGAAGAAUCCUAAUUUGAACCUCACCUUCAAUAUAGUGGAAGUGGAGAACCUUAGAGCGUAUCUUUUGACCCAAUCUGAGCGGCUAUUAGUGCCAUGUCAGUAAUCUCAAGUCGUUUGAAGCUUGGGUGAUCUUGGCCAGGAUAAGCUAGGAGGAAACCUCGUAUCUCCUCAGUGGAUCAUGUAGUCAUGGUCCCGGUGACUUGAAAAAUUAUGAAAUUAUCCUAGUAGAAUCCAUUUGAUUGUUUGUGUUCAAUCCGAGCUACCUGGCUGGAGAAUCUCACUUCUCUUUUGCAUCGUGUGUGCAGGCUGGAAACGUUCUAAUUGGUCUAUAAUCUUAUGAGUUUUGGGGUAUAUCUCCCAAGGAGUGUCUUUGUGCCGGGUUGAGAGGGUUUGGUCACUCAACUAUAUGAAAUUAUAGCUCAAUCUUGACUUCUUGACUUCCAAAGAGCGUGGAGUUCGUGUCGAGAAAUUGAGGCGCAGCUGGUGUGGUGGUGCCGGAACCGAGAAAGACAAAGGGGGUGGAAUUGCGCUUGCCAUUGCGAGUUGAAGUAUUACAGUUCUAGUGUGUUUUCGAAGGUGGAGAAAGGUAGCAGAUGCCUUGGAUUUGCAUGAGUGUUGUCUGUGGAGCAGAGUCGGAACUCAUCGUCGUGUUUGGGUAGUAACUGGAAAUUGGAAGCCGCUCAUUUUGAUUUGAAAUUGCAAGUAACUUGCUGUGGAGUACCUUAACAGUGGCACAUUUGGCUCUAAAAAAGGAUGUCAUUUAAGAUUCUUGUGAUCGAAUUUUUGGUCACUUCAAGUUUUAUAACUCCUGCUCGAUAGUGAGAUUUAGUAUAUUAGUUUUUGAGGAGGCACGAUGGGGAGACAUGUCCUUGAAAACACGGGAAGGAUGAAUUUGUGGAUGGAUUGUAGCACGUCUCAUUGGGUAUAAUCCGCUUGGAGAUGGCAUGGAGAGGACAACAAGUUGACAUCCCUUUGGACUGGAAUCCAGCUUCUUCCCUGCAAGCUUUUGCGGGUGUAGUCGAAUUCAUUGUGGUUCUUGUCUUUUGUUUUAUUCAUUACGCAGCGUUUCGAGUUCUAGGUAGAGUUGGCUCAAACCCUCCAAAUUCUUGUCGUAAUCGAUUGAGAGGAAAAUUGAGAAAGACCAAUUAUUUGAUAUAUUUUCUAGGUCGCAAUGGAAAACUUUGCUGGGCUAGUUGCUGCAGAUAGUGCAGUAAAUAAUAGAUUAGGUCAAAUUUCUAAGGAUUCAUUGGCAGAGUCUGCGUCUGAAGAUGUAAGUGUUGAGAAUGAAUUAGGUUACAUUUCACCGGUUAGGAAUGUCAAAGAUCAAGAACAGGAAGAUAGGGACAGAGACCAAGAUUUGAAGGACAAGGAACUUUAUGAAGCUCUUCAGUGUGAACGUGAAACACUGGCUGCUCUGUACAGCGAGUUGGAAAAGGAGAGGAAUUUCUCCGCAACAGCUGCUAGUGAAGCUCUUGCAAUGAUUUCUCGUUUGCAAGAGGAGAAAGCUGCUGUACAACUGGAGGCUCGGCAAUUCCAGCGGAUGGUCCUCGAGAAGGCAAUGUAUGACCAGGAGGCAAUUGAAGCCUUGAACGAACUUCUCAUGAGUCGAGAGGAAGAGAAGCUUGCGUUGGAAGAAGAAAUUCGUGUGUGCAGAGAAAGAUUAGACUCUGUUAUGAAGGAAGAGAGGAGACAAUCAUUGAAACCUAAUGCGAUCUCUGAAUCACCAAUUUUAAAUAGAACCGGAAAGGUU